GUAGGGAAUAUUGGGCAAUGGAGGCAACUCUGACCCAGCCAUGCCGCGUGCAGGAUGACGGCCCUCUGGGUUGUAAACUGCUUUUAUACGGGAAGAAAAAAUACUACGUGUAGUAUACUGACGGUACCGUAAGAAUAAGGAUCGGCUAACUCCGUGCCAGCAGCCGCGGUAAUACGGAGGAUCCAAGCGUUGUCCGGAUUUAUUGGGUUUAACGGGUGCGUAGGCGGAUCUUUAAGUCAGUGGUGAAAGCCUGCAGCUUAACUGUAGAAUUGCCAUUGAAACUGAAGAUCUUGAAUGUGGUUAAAGUAGGCGGAAUGUAUCAUGUAGCGGUGAAAUGCUUAGAUAUGAUACAGAACACCGAUAGCGAAGGCAGCUUGCUGAACCAUUAUUGACGCUGAGGCACGAAAGCGUGGGGAGCGAACAGGAUUAGAAACCCCGGUAGUCC
rnacentral:rRNA from 1 species